UCCCUGGUGGUCGAGUGGCUAAGACUCCAAGCUCCCAAGUGCAGGAGGCCCAGGUUCGAUCCCUGGUCAGGCAG
rnacentral:tRNA from 1 species